rnacentral:rRNA from 1 species
UACGGAGGAGGCAAGCGUUAUCCGGAAUUAUUGGGCGUAAAGAGCGUGUAGGCGGCCAGGUAGGUCGGUUGUGAAAACUGGAGGCUCAACCUUCAGAGGUCGACCGAAACCAUCUGGCUAGAGUCCGGGAGAGGAGAGUGGAAUUCCUGGUAUAGCGGUGAAAUGCGCAGAUAUCAGGAAGAACACCCGUGGCGAAAGCGGCUCUCUGGAACGGUACUGACGCUCAGACACGACAGCAUGGGGAGCGAACGGG